AGGGGUAUCGCCAAGCGGUAAGGCAACGGUUUUUGGUGUCGUCAUUCGUAGGUUCGAAUCCUGCUACCCCUGCUA
rnacentral:tRNA from 2 species